rnacentral:rRNA from 1 species
UACGUAGGGUGCAGGCGUUAAUCGGAAUUACUGGGCGUAAAGCGUGCGCAGGCGGUCUGCUAAGAGAGGUGUGAAAUCCCCGGGCUUAACCUGGGAACUGCGCUUCUAACUGGCAGGCUUGAGUGUGGCAGAGGGGGGUGGAAUUCCACGUGUAGCAGUGAAAUGCGUAGAGAUGUGGAGGAACACCGAUGGCGAAGGCAGCCCC